rnacentral:rRNA from 1 species
UACGAAGGGGGCUAGCGUUGCUCGGAAUUACUGGGCGUAAAGGGCGCGUAGGCGGACAGUUUAGUCAGAGGUGAAAGCCCAGGGCUCAACCUUGGAAUUGCCUUUUGAUACUGGCUGUCUUGAGUUCGGGAGAGGUGAGUGGAAUGCCGAGUGUAGAGGUGAAAUUCGUAGAUAUUCGGAAGAACACCAGUGGCGAAGGCGGCUCACUGGCCCGGUACUGACGCUGAGGCACGAAAGCGUGGGAGCAAACAGG